GACGGAGGAUGCAAGUGUUAUCCGGAAUCACUGGGCGCAAAGCGUCUGUAGGUGGUUUAAUAAGUCAACUGUUAAAUCUUGAGGCUCAACCUCAAAAUCGCAGUCGAAACUAUUAGGCUAGAGUAUAGUAGGGGUAAAGGGAAUUUCCAGUGGAGCGGUGAAAUGCGUAGAGAUUGGAAAGAACACCGAUGGCGAAGGCACUUUACUGGGCUAUUACUAACACUGAGAGACGAAAGCUAGGGUAGCAAAUGGG
rnacentral:rRNA from 1 species